rnacentral:rRNA from 1 species
UACAGAGGUCCCGAGCGUUGUUCGGAUUCAUUGGGCGUAAAGGGUGCGCAGGCGGGCUGGUAAGUCAGGAGUGAAAUCUCGGCGCUUAACGCCGAAACUGCUUUUGAUACUGCCAGUCUUGAAUCAGCGAGAGGUGCGUGGAAUUUCCGGUGUAGCGGUGAAAUGCGUAGAUAUCGGAAGGAACACCUGUGGCGAAAGCGGCGCACUGGACCAAAACUGACGCUGAGGCGCGAAAGCGUGGGAGCAAACAGG